rnacentral:rRNA from 1 species
GGUGAACGCUGGCGGCGUGCCUAAUACAUGCAAGUCGAGCGAACGGACGAGAAGCUUGCUUCUCUGAUGUUAGCGGCGGACGGGUGAGUAACACGUGGAUAACCUACCUAUAAGACUGGGAUAUCUUCGGGAAACCGGAGCUAAUACCGGAUGAUAUUUUGAACCGCAUGGUUCAAAAGUGAAAGACGGUCUUGCUGUCACUUAUAGAUGGAUCCGCGCUGCAUUAGCUAGUUGGUAAGGUAACGGCUUACCAAGGCAACGAUGCAUAGCCGACCUGAGAGGGUGAUCGGCCACACUGGAACUGAGACACGGUCCAGACUCCUACGGGAGGCAGCAGUAGGGAAUCUUCCGCAAUGGGCGAAAGCCUGACGGAGCAACGCCGCGUGAGUGAUGAAGGUCUUCGGAUCGUAAAACUCUGUUAUUAGGGAAGAACAUAUGUGUAAGUAACUGUGCACAUCUUGACGGUACCUAAUCAGAAAGCCACGGCUAACUACGUG